rnacentral:rRNA from 1 species
GACGAACGCUGGCGGCGUGCUUAACACAUGCAAGUCGAACGGAAAGGCCCUGCUUGCAGGGUACUCGAGUGGCGAACGGGUGAGUAACACGUGGGUGAUCUGCCCUGCACUUCGGGAUAAGCCUGGGAAACUGGGUCUAAUACCGGAUAGGAGCCAUUUUUAGUGUGAUGGUUGGAAAGUUUUUUCGGUGUAUGAUGAGCCCGCGGCCUAUCAGCUUGUUGGUGGGGUAAUGGCCUACCAAGGCGGCGACGGGUAGCCGGCCUGAGAGGGUGGACGGCCACAUUGGGACUGAGAUACGGCCCAGACUCCUACGGGAGGCAGCAGUGGGGAAGAUUGCACAAUGGGCGCAAGCCUGAUGCAGCGACGCCGCGUGGGGGAUGACGGCCUUCGGGUUGAAAACUCCUUUCGCUAGGGACGAAGCUUUUUGUGACGGUACCUAGAUAAGAAGCACCGGCUAACUACGUG